rnacentral:rRNA from 1 species
ACUCGCGGCGUGCUUACACAUGCAAGUCGAACGAUGACGGUGGUGCUUGCACCGCCUGAUUAGUGGCGAACGGGUGAGUAACACGUGAGUAACCUGCCCUCCACUUCGGGAUAACCUCGGGAAAUCGUGGCUAAUACCGGAUAUGAGCACUCAUCGCAUGGUGGGUGUUGGAAAGAUUUAUCGGUGGGGGAUGGACUCGCGGCCUAUCAGUUUGUUGGUGAGGUGAUGGCUCACCAAGACGAUGACGGGUAGCCGGCCUGAGAGGGCGACCGGCCACACUGGGACUGAGACACGGCCCAGACUCCUACGGGAGGCAGCAGUGGGGAAUAUUGCACAAUGGGCGAAAGCCUGAUGCAGCGACGCCGCGUGGGGGAUGACGGCCUUCGGGUUGUAAACCCCUUUCAGUAGGGAAGAAGCGAGAGUGACGGUACCUGCAGAAGAAGCGCCGGCUAACUACGUGCCAGCAGCCGCGGUAAUACGUAGGGCGCAAGCGUUGUCCGGAAUUAUUGGGCGUAAAGAGCUUGUAGGUGGCUUGUCGCGUCUGCCGUGAAAACCCGAGGCUCAACCUCGGGCGUGCGGUGGGUACGGGCAGGCUAGAGUGUGGUAGGGGAGACUGGAACUCCUGGUGUAGCGGUGAAAUGCGCAGAUAUCAGGAAGAACACCGAUGGCGAAGGCAGGUCUCUGGGCCAUUACUGACACUGAGAAGCGAAAGCAUGGGUAGCGAACAGGAUUAGAUACCCUGGUAGUCCAUGCCGUAAACGUUGGGCACUAGGUGUGGGGGACAUUCCACGUUUUCCGCG